rnacentral:lncRNA from 1 species
AUGACUCAGUCGGUCCUGUGGCAGCCACACAGAGGCAGACCCCAAAACACACACACACACACACACACACACACACACACACCACACACACCACACACAAACCACACUUGCACCACACACACCAUGCACAAACACACACCACACAUACCACAUACACCACAUACACACCACACACACCACACACCACACACAAACACACACCACACACCACACACAAACACACACUACACACACACCACACUCAUACCACACACACCAUGCACACACACCACACGUACCACACACACCACAUACACACCACACACACCACACACACACACCACACAUACCACACACACCACAUACCACACACACACCACACACCACACACAAACACCACACACAAACACACACUACACACACACCACACUCAUACCACACACACCAUGCACAAACACACACCACACAUACCACACACACCACAUACACACCACACACACACCACACACCACACACAAACACACCACACACACACUACACACACACCACACUCGUACCACACACACCAUGCACACACACCACACACACCACACACCACACACACACCACACACAAACACACACCACACAUACCACACACACCACAUACACACCACACACACACCACACACCACACACAAACACACACUACACACACCACACUCGUACCACACACCAUGCACACACACCACACAUACCACACACACCACACACAAACACACACACCACACAUACCACACACACCACACACAAACACACACACCACACAUACCACACACACCACACACAAACACACACCACACAUACCACACACACCACAUACACACCACACACACACCACACCACACACACCACACACAAACCAUACACGCACCACACAUACACUACACACACACACACCACACAUACCACACACACCACAUACCACACACCACACAAACACACCACACAUUACACACAAACACACCACACAUUACACACAAACACACCACACACAAACCAUACUCGCAGCACACACACCAUGCACAAACACACACCACACAUACCACAUACACACCACACAUAA